CAUUAGUGACAAAUCACAAUUUCUGUCGAUAAUCUUUAAGGAAAGCCUGAUAUUUCAUAUGUGAAGACUAAAGGAUCACAAACACCAACUCUUAAGAUGAAGGACAAGGAGGUGAAAACAUCUUUGGAGACUGUCAGCGAUUACAGAUUACAUUCAACUCCUAUUCAAGAAUGCUGGCUUGUCCCAUUCCAGGCUGUGAUGGAGGCAGAGAUUUCUGAUUUUACUGUCACUCAGCUGUAGAGUUGACAAACAGUGUUUCCUUUUGAUUUUGAUGGUCCAUGUUAAGUAAAUGCUUCAGUGGUUUAAUCCUACCUGGCCUAGGAAGCCUUACUUAAGUAUAUUGUUUGCUUGAUACGCUGAUUAUUUUUGUAAAUCCACUUCAGCUGCCUUUCCACGGAUUAAUCCAAAUGGACUCUUAAUAAAUACAAAUUCUCAUGUC